rnacentral:tRNA from 1 species
AGAAAGUUAUUUGGGACUGCUAACCCCAAACCCCGUACAUAAAAAUACGGCUUCCUC